CCCUUAGAUGUUCUGGGCCGCACGCGCGCUACACUGACUACUUCAACGAGUUGUUUCCUUGAUCGAAAGGUCUGGGUAAUCUUUGAAAGGUAGUCGUGAUGGGGAUAGAUCCUUGCAAUUUUUGAUCUUCAACGAGGAAUUCCUAGUAAACGCAAGUCAUCAGCUUGCAUUGAUUACGUCCCUGCCCUUUGUACACACCGCCCGUCGCACCUACCGAUUGAAUGGUCCGGUGAAUCUUUAGGACUGUGGCUGAGGCCUUGCCUUGUGCGGGUCUGGCCGCGGGAAUUUAGUUAAACCUUACCAUUUAGAGGAAGGUGAAGUCGUAACA
rnacentral:rRNA from 1 species